AGUUCUGCUCAAGAAAAACCUAGAAAGGAUUCCACUUCUCAUGAAGCUUCAGGUGAUGCUACCCAGCCUGAUAUCUCUGUUUCAUCCUCUUCAAAGGAUGCUGAUCCAAAGAAUGGUAACUCUGAGGGUAUCAAUUCUGAAGAGCCAAUCCAGGCUCCAGCCUCUGUUCAGGACAUCUCUGAUGAUGCUUCUGAUGAUGUUCCU
rnacentral:lncRNA from 1 species